UGCAGUCGAGCGGUAAGGCCCUUCGGGGUACACGAGCGGCGAACGGGUGAGUAACACGUGGGUGAUCUGCCUUGCACUCUGGGAUAAGCCUGGGAAACUGGGUCUAAUACCGGAUAUGACCUUCGGUUGCAUGACCGGGGGUGGAAAGAUUUAUCGGUGCAAGAUGAGCCCGCGGCCUAUCAGCUUGUUGGUGGGGUAAUGGCCUACCAAGGCGACGACGGGUAGCCGGCCUGAGAGGGCGACCGGCCACACUGGGACUGAGACACGGCCCAGACUCCUACGGGAGGCAGCAGUGGGGAAUAUUGCACAAUGGGCGGAAGCCUGAUGCAGCGACGCCGCGUGAGGGAUGACGGCCUUCGGGUUGUAAACCUCUUUCGACUCCGACGAAGCGAGAGUGACGGUAGGAGUAUAAGAAGCACCGGCCAACUACGUGCCAGCAGCCGCGGUAAUACGUAGGGUGCGAGCGUUGUCCGGAAUUACUGGGCGUAAAGAGCUUGUAGGCGGUCUGUCGCGUCAUCUGUGAAAACUUGGGGCUCAACCUUAAGCUUGCAGGCGAUACGGGCAGACUAGAGUACUUCAGGGGAGACUGGAAUUCCUGGUGUAGCGGUGAAAUGCGCAGAUAUCAGGAGGAACACCGGUGGCGAAGGCGGGUCUCUGGGAAGUAACUGACGCUGAGAAGCGAAAGCGUGGGUAGCGAACAGGAUUAGAUACCCUGGUAGUCCACGCCGUAAACGGUGG
rnacentral:rRNA from 1 species